AGAGAAAUUGAAGUUGAAAAGACAUGAGCUUUACCUUCAUUCAUUUCUUCAAUCUUAUCAUUUCCAUCUUUCUCUUUCUCCGUAUCCUUAUCUCUCUUUCUUUCUUCUUCACUAAAUUUUCAACAUUCUUUUCUCUUCCUCAUUGAACCUCCUCCUUUCUCUAUUUUUCAAAUAUUGAGACUCACCAUUUUUUCUUCUACAUUUUUUGACAGGUACGAUUUUUUUCUCAACACACCAUUGGGUUCUUCGCUCAAAGGUAUAAUCUUUCCUUUUAAGCUUAUUCAUAUUUGCAAGUUUGUUUGUCUUCAUUUUAUGCAUUUUAGUCUGCAUCUUCUAAUCACACGUUUUUUUUCAUCUUCAUCACACUUCCAAUGUUUCUUAUAUCUUCAUCACAUGUUUUUUCUCUCUUCCUUUCCAUUUUACACAAAAAAAAAAAUUGAUUAACCGGGUGGAUAGUCUUUAUCCGAAGUUUGAAUCUUUGUAUAAGAAAGUUGGAAAUUUUGAUAUCAUAGAAGAAAGUUUUAAUCUUUAUAGAAAAAAGUUUGUAUCUUUAUAGAAGAAAGUUGGAAUUUUGAAUAAUAUUGAAGAAAGUUAGAAUCUUUAUAGAAAAAGAUUGUAGAAGAAAGUUGAAAUUUUUGAUAUUAUAGAUGAAACUUGGAAUUUUUUAUUUUAUAGAAGAAAUUUGAAAUCUUCAAAUAAGAAAGUCUAAAUCUUUAGUGAAUCUUUGGGAGCUUAUAUGUUGUUGGUGACCCUCACUUUUGUUUCCAUCUUGAUAAAUCUUUACUUCAUUAUUAAUCUAAAUAAUGAACCUGAUCAUCUACUUGAAAUAUAAUUACCAUUUUAUUCAUUUUUUAAAGAAUACUUAUUUUUAAAUUAACUAUGUUUUAAGUUUAAAUAAUUCAAUUUAAAUUUUUAGAUAAGUUAAUCUCAUUGUUAGAUAAGAAAAUCGACUAUGAAAAGGAAGAUUCAAUUUAAGUUUAGAAAAGCUAAAAUAUGAUAUAAAUAACUUGAAUUAAUCUUUUAAUUCAAUUAUUUAUUAACCAGUUUUUAUAUAAUGUGUAUGUGUUGAUUUUUUUACUUUAUUAUUGCAAAUGAUUGUUUCUACUUUACUUAAAUCUCAUGCUAUUAUUAACACCUCAUUAUAUGAUAUCUUGUGUUUCAAUCAGUUAUAUGUUUUUGUAUUUUUGUACUAAGCAUAUAUAUUCAAGUUAAAGUAUAAUAUACAAUACAUAUACUAUGUAUAUAUAUACAUAUACAUGUAUGUAUGCAUCUCUUAUUUGUACUUUAUUACAUUCAUUAUCCAGUUUUUGUAUUAUGUGUAUGAGUUGAGUUGAAGAUAACAUUUUUUUGAAUGAUUUAUCAUUAUACUUUAUUUCAACUUUCUUGGUUGUAUUUUGGGUAUGCAUCUUUAUUAUGUCUUUGUCUCAAAAGCUUAUUUGGUUCAGUUUAUUGAAAAGGUAACCAUGAGACAUUGGUAGCUAUGAAUUGAGCCUGUACCUUUUAUGUUUUCAAACUUACCUACUCUGCUGAAAUGAAAUAGAGCCAUCAAUAAUGAUUUCCCUAAAAACCUGCUAAAGUAAGUACUUUAACAUUAUUACUUUUCAUGUAACGUGUUUGUCUCCUUUCACACUCAACCUUCUGUGCCUACAUUAUUCAUUAAUUUGUUUUAUAUUUGUUGCAGAUCAACAAUCAUCAUUUUUCAUGGCAUUGGAAAAAUAAACAUAAUGAUAUCCAAAAAUAUCUUCCUCCAACUACUAUAAUCAUUUUCUUCUAUUUUCUGUUUUUCUCUAUCAUUGAAUGUGUAUAUUUAUUUAUCUUUUGUUUUUUAGUAUUCUAACUACAGCAAAAAAUGUUACUAAAGUCACAUGUUGAAUAGCCAUGAAAAAAUACAAAGGACACCCAUAAAUUAGUGAGAUACCAUUCAUAUAUUAGACACUCACAUAACUUGAUAAUGAUCAGUUGUGAGGACAUUUUGAUCAUUCUAAUAUAUUAUUUCUAUGAUAUAACAAUGCUUCAUUUAUUACAAUUGUACUUCUAUGUCAUUACCAUAGUGUUAAUAGUUUUUAAAAUUUCUAGCAUGCCAAUGAUAUCACACAUUUUCAGGGUUUAUCACAUAACACAUCAUUUAAUGCAAUUGUACUUCUCUUUUAUUAUUAUUACAGUUUCAAUAAUUUUAAAAUGUGCAUAUUUCUUUAUCUUUUGUUUAUAGAUUCUCAUCUCAGAGAAGAAAAUGUUAAAGUCACAUGUGUAAUAGCCAUGAAAAAUACAAAGGACACCUCUAAACUUAAUACCACCAAAGAUAAAAGUUGUUAUUUUGAGUGUGAGAUACAAGUGAUCUUCAAACAAAACAAAGAUUUUGCUAUUUUAAAAAAAAAAAUAUAGGACAAAGGCAUUCCAAUCCAUGAAAAAAAUCGGUAAUGAUUUGUGAAACAUGAGAGGCUAUACAUGUGACAAAAAUGAAUUUAGAAUUUAUG
rnacentral:lncRNA from 1 species